rnacentral:lncRNA from 1 species
ACAGCAUGCCACGACAAGAAUCAAUUUAGGUGGCACAAGCAUCAUAUUCUCCAACGUAACAUCAGCCAUAAAAAUGAGAAAUAUGAAAAGGGUAUUCCAACCACCUGCGGUCCAUAAGCUCAGCAGCAAUAAUAAUAAUUAAUACGGUCUGUUAGCUAGAAUGGUGCAGUUUGUGCUGUGGCUACUAAAGGUGGCUGCAUGAUGGAGAAUAAAACUUCAAGGAUUCAAAG